UAGCUCAGUUGGUAGAGCAUUUGCUUUAUGUGCACGAGGCCCUGGGUUCAAUCCCCAG
rnacentral:tRNA from 1 species